CAGGUAUUCCUCCUUGGUACAGUCAGCAGAUAGAGAGAGUUUUCAUGCCAUAGUAGACAUGGCUAGGAGAAUGGAGGCUAGUGCCAUCAUUCAGGGGACAGUUAAGCAGACAGUGGCACAAGCUUCUGGUUCUAAAACUCCGGGAGGGGGAAGGUUAGAUCCCUCUACCUUGAGUGCAGCAGCUUCAGGCAGUAAGAGAUGGAGUAAACCCAAGGGUAAGAAGAAUAAGUUCUGGAACAAGGUCAAGUCUAGUCUGGGAUUUGGAAGUGGCUCAAGCUCUGGUGCGGAUAAUGCAGUUUGUGCAAGGUGUGGCAGACCACACAAGGGAGU
rnacentral:lncRNA from 1 species